rnacentral:rRNA from 1 species
AGUAGCGGUGAAAUGCGUAGAUAUCUGGAGGAAUACCAAAGGCGAAGGCAGUCCCCUGGUCCGAUACUGACACUGAGGUACGAAAGCGUGGGGAGCAAACAGGAUUAGAUACCCUGGUAGUCCACGCCCUAAACGAUGUCGAUUAGCCAUUGGAAGGACCCCUUUUCCUUUCAGUGACGUAGCUAACGCGUUAAAUCGACCGCCUGGGAAGUACGACCGCAAGGUUAAAACUCAAAGGAAUUGACGGGGACCUGAACAAGCGGUGAAUGAUGUGGAUUAAUUCGAUGCUACGCGAAGAACCUUACCUACCUUUGACAUGGCCAAAGUUCUACCGAGAGGCGGAAGUACUCGUAAGAGGAUUGGCGCACAGGUGCUGCAUGGUUGUCGUCAGUUCGUGUCGUGAGAUGUUGGGUUCAGUCCCGCAACGAACGCAACCCUUAUCUUUAAUUGCUCCUAUUUUAACAGGCACUUUAAAGAAACUGCCAAUGAUAAGUUGGAGGAAGGUGGGGAUCACGUCAAGUCCGCAUGGCCUUUAUAGGUAGGGCUUCACACGUCAUACAAUGGUUAGAACAAAGAGCUGCAAAUUCGUAAGAMGGAGCCAAUCUCACAAACCUAACCUCAGUUCGAAUUGCGGUCUGCAACUCGAGCGCAUGAAGCCGGAAUCGCUAGUAAUCGUGGAUCAGAAUGCCA